rnacentral:misc_RNA from 1 species
GUGAAUCAUCAAAUCUUUGAACGCAAAUUGCACUCUCUGGUAUUCCGGAGAGUAUGCCUGUUUGAGAAUCAGUAUAAAUAAAAAUCCGUGUUUUGCCGGCCUUUCUUGGUGACGCGCCCGAUUUGGUUCGUCUUACCUGCUGUUAAGUGACCUAAAAUUUUGCAUUAAUUUUUUCGAACGUAUUUAAAUGAUUUUACAUACGUUUGCGAUAUC